UUUCACUCUUUCAUCUUCUACUGUCCGGGUUUGGCGCCUGCUGACUUGUUUCUGUUUCCUAAGCUGAAAGUGGCACUACGAGGAUAGCGUGUUUGGACGAUGUAGAAACGAUCCAGAAGAACGUGACAGUUCUUUCAAGUCCAAUUUCAAAAGAGGACUACGCACAGCGAAAGGAUGCACGUUGACUAAUAGAUAAUGAAAUUUCAUUUAUCUGAAAAGCUGUGUUCUUAAUAACGUUGGUCCCGGAAUUUCCUGAGCGAACUGUGUAUACGAGACACCCUGUAUAUUGCAAUGUAGAGAAGCUGAAGAAUAAUGGAACGUUUGUAACGAAACGUUCAAAAGGCUGUAAUUAAAUAAACAGAUCAAAGAAGAGAUAGACGAAGCUACGGGAAGAGAAGAGAUUGACAGUACAAUCGGGUCAUUGGAUGUAAUAACAGCGGCCUAUUAUUAUAAUUGACCACAACAGUGGCGAUGGGAGCGAUGGUAAUAGUGACGGUAGUGACAGUGGUAUCAGCAGAAGAACGGUUGUUCGCGCCGUGUCUUUCUGGCACUGGGUUUCUCUAGCUCUUUCACAAUAUCGUGGCAACGCUUGCAAUAAAUCUGUGGUGUGGUGCGAUAUGGCAAUCGGCAGGCUGCGUGACAUUUCGAUGCUACGAAACUCACUGAUGCUGUGAUUCGAUGUUGAUCGACGGCCAAGGUAUUCGUCGUUGGAUUAGAUCACGUCAUCUGGUCACAAG